UAAACAAACACAAUCUCAGAUUAGUACAAUUAGCUUCAGAGUUGAUGUUAAUAGAAAUUAUUCCAAAAUUAUUCUUGUCACAAGUAACUACUAUGUCCCACAUAAAAAGGGAAAAAAUCCCACCCAAUCACAGAAAAGGCAUCCUCUGUAUGUUUCCGUGGCAAUGUGUUUUUUAUGCAUUCUCAAAUUUUGUCUGGCUAGUUAAUCCACUGCUUCUCCAAUGGAUUCAUUCAAUUUUUUGGAGAACCAUAUAGACUAAUGACAGCAUCUGGGACACACGGACAUAUCAAGUUGAUGGUGGACAUUGCUAUUAUAAAAAAUACUCAGGUCUUGAGAAUCCCUGUGCUGAAGGAUCCCAAAAUGCUUUCUAAAAAGCAUU
rnacentral:lncRNA from 1 species